CUUCCCCAAUCCUUGCGCGUUCGCGGUCGCCGUCGCUGCCCGCAUCGCUUCCCCUUGCCAAUCCUCCCUCCGUUCCAUGGCGCCGCCAUGUUUCUCGAAGAAGCCGCCGUCGGGGAGCGCCGGGGACCCAGCGGAGCCUUGCGGAGGCGCCUCCUCUACUCUCUCUCCAAUCCCGCCGAUGCUCUCUUCAGCUCCUCAUCCUCUUCUCCCCCCAGAUGGAUGGAAUGCUUCUUCAUUAUCCGAAAGAAACAGCCCACCCUGCCGACCGGAUGUUAAUUCCUAUGGUGGCAAAGAAGCCAGAUAUCCGGGCCCAGACCUUCCAGAGGACAUUUGGUGUCGUAUACACUUCCUACUACCAAUGCAAGAUGCUGCCCGUGCCGCCUGUGUUUCUCGCUCCUUCCUACACUCCUGGAGAUGCCACCCCAAUCUCACCUUCACCAACGAAACGAUGUGCCCCAAAGAAGAUUUAAAAGCAGCGGGAUCGAACGCUAUUAUAAGAGACUACAACAACAAAAUUGACUGUGUUCUGAGGAACCGCUUGUGUACUGAUGCCGUGACGAAACUCAAGCUUGACUACCACGUUCCUCCUGAUGGUGCUGAAUCGUAUCAUCGUCUUGAUAGCUGGCUCCAGAUGGCUGUUACGCCCAGGACCAAAGAACUCGAGCUUCUAGUAUGGUCGAAAGAGGCGAGCUUUGAUUUCCCAUGCACACUACUAUCUGACAGGUGUGGGGGCUCGAUUCAGAAGCUUCUCCUUUUCAGAUGUGCCUUACGUCCCACAUUUCAACUUGGUUUGAGAAGCCUGAAAACUCUGCAUCUGCGCGAUGUGCGUGUUACGGGGGAGGAGUUAGGGUGCCUUCUGUCCAGUUCCACUGCUUUGGAACACCUGAAGCUCGUAUAUUGUGAUGAUAUAGUUCGCCUGGAGAUACCUUGCCUGCUGCAGAGGCUCAGCUUCCUGGAGGUGUCUGGAUGCACGAAUCUUCAAGUGAUAGAGAACAAAGCUCCAAAUCUCUCCAGAUUUUACCUUGAAGCAGGUGAACUGGUGCAAGUCUCGUUUGGAGAGUCGAAAGUGAAGGACGUGCAGUUGAGGCAGGGUUAUGCCAUCAAUUAUGCUAUUGAGAACCUUCCUUCACGUGUGCCGAAUCUUGAGACACUUAACAUACAAUCUUCUCAUGAGAUCUAUGUUUUCAAGGCGUCGCCUAGGCGUCGCCUAGGCGACGCCUAGGCGUCAGAGCGCUCGCGAACGUCAAGGCGUCGCCGUCGCUUUAGUUUUUUGUCUAAGGCGUCCGCCUUGUGCUGUUGAGGCGUCCAAGGCGUCGCCUAGGCGUCCAAGGCGCCGCUUUGCUUGAUUUUGGACGCCCUGGACAUGCGCGGGCAGGUUGAGCGGGAACCAGCAGCUGGCGCGCGCCAGAAAGAGGAAUUGGCGGGAGGGAAGAGAAAUUGGGCGGGAGAGAGGGGGUAAACAGAGGCAGGAGAGAGAGGGGAACACACCUGUGACUCCAAAUCGAGGGGAAAAGAGAGAGGAGCUCUCUCCUCUCAGUCUCUCACGCCGCCGGCCCAGAUCCGUUCCUCCUCCGCCGGCCUCCCCCUGUCCGGCCAAGCUCCUCCUCCGCAGGCCCUUCCCCUCUCCGGCCAAGAUCCAUCUCCGCCGGCCAUCCCCCUCUCCGGCCAAGCUCCUCGGCCGCCGGCAGCCCUCUCCCAAGAUUUCUAUUGUGGAAGGCAGAAAUGGGAAACAAGAUGGGAGGAAUGGAUGCUAUGUGGGCUCAACAACCAGGAAAUUCAAGGACUACGAUUUUUUGUCGUUGGUUCAUUUUUUUGAUGCUUCUCCUUCCCUCGAGACGUUUCGCUUGUAAUCGAGCAUUCCAUGGAUGACUGGUUUGAGGGAGAUCCCUCGUCUCUGAGGCGAAUGCCACAACACUGCCAUGGGAGCCUCAAGAGUGUGAAGAUCAUUGGUUUCUUCCCCCAAAAGAGCAUGGUUGAGCUAACAUGUCAUCUUCUCGAGAAUGCAAUGUCACUUGAGUCCCUUACAGUGGAUGCUAGUCCAGCUAAUUACAGGUGUUCUGGCAGUAAACCGGGCAGAAAAUGCAGUCCCCUGACAACUACAGCUAUAGUGA